GAUCAGCCACACUGGGACUGACACACUGCCCAGACUCCUACGGGAGGCUGCAGUCGAGAAUCUUCCGCAAUGCGCGAAAGCGUGACGGAGCAAUGCCGCGUGCCGGAUGAAGGUCUUCGGAUCGUAAACGGCUGUCAGAUGUGACGAAUAAAUGACGGUAGCAUCAAAGGAAGCCACGGCUAACUACGUGCCAGCAGCCGCGGUAAUACGGAGGGUGCAAGCGUUAUUCGGAAUUAUUGGGCGUAAAGGGCGCGUAGGCGGCCGUUUAAGUCAGGUGUGAAAGCCCGGGGCUUAACCCCGGAAGUGCAUUUGAUACUGAGCGGCUUGAGUAUGGGAGAGGGAAGUGGAAUUCCUGGUGUAGAGGUGAAAUUCGUAGAUAUCAGGAGGAACACCGGUGGCGAAGGCGACUUCCUGGACCAAUACUGACGCUGAGGCGCGAAGGCGUGGGGAUCAAACAGGAUUAGAUACCCUGGUAGUCCACGCAGUAAACGGUGAUCACUAGGUGUAGCGGGUAUUGACCCCUGCUGUGCCGCAGCUAACGCAUUAAGUGAUCCGCCUGGGGAGUACGAUCGCAAGGUUAAAACUCAAAGGAAUUGACGGGGGCCCGCACAAGCGGUGGAGCAUGUGGUUUAAUUCGACGCAACGCGAAGAACCUUACCUGGGCUUGACAUCUGCGGAAUUUCUAUGAAAGUAGGAAGUGCCCUUCGGGGAGCCGCAAGACAGGUGCUGCAUGGCUGUCGUCAGCUUGUGUCGUGAGAUGUUGGGUUAAGUCCCGCAACGAGCGCAACCCUUAUCUUUAGUUACCAUCAUUCAGUUGGGAACUCUAAAGAUACUGCCCC
rnacentral:rRNA from 1 species